rnacentral:misc_RNA from 1 species
UGGAAGUAAAAAUCGUAACAAGGUUUCCGUAGGUGAACCUGCGGAAGGAUCAUUACUGAGUGGCUGUAUUCGUGCUUCUCUUCGGAGACGCGAAGCUACCCGACCUGAUGUCAUUUUAUCCGAGGGCGCGCCCGCUUGAGAAGACAGCGGUUUGACGUUGUGGUGUUACCCGGACGAGGCGCUUGUCUCGUAAGGGGAAGCUUCCGGGUCGGGCCGUGGCGCGUUCCUUGGCACAACUUUCCGCGGAAGUGGUAGGCGUUGACUUGCCCGCCGCGGGCCAUACUUUUCACAACUCUCGAAGAAAACCUGAAGUCUGAAUACCAAAACAAAAACGAAAAGCAAAACUUUCAACAACGGAUCUCUUGGCUCUGGCAACGAUGAAGAACGCAGCGAAACGCGAAAGGUAAUGCGAAUUGCAGAAUCAGUGAGUCAUCGAAUCUUUGAACGCACAUUGCGCCUCUCGGUAUUCCGGGAGGCACGCCUGUUCGAGCGCCAUUACAAACUCCAAGCGUGGCUUGAUGUUGGGCGAUGUCUUUUUGCGAGAGCGGGAGACACGCCUGGAACGCGUUGGCGCCGCCGCCGGACCACGAGCGUAGCAAGACGAGAGUCAAUCGCAUCGAUUUGGUUUCCGACGGAGGUCCGCCUUGUGACUGCACUUUCGAGUGUAGUUGAAAAACUUCUCAAGUUGGC